AUACAUCUCAACGUGCGUAGUGUUUCAGGGAAGUGGAGCGGUAAAUACUCAAGUUUUGUAGGCUAAUUGCUACAAAUUUUCAUCAUUUUUUGUUUCAUUCAUUGGUAAACGGGUUCUUAUAUAAUCGAAUAUAAGCAAUGGCAGUAUCUGCUGCAGCUGCUCUUUUAGACGAAUUGAUGGGAAGGAACAGAAAUGUCAAUCCAAACGACUGCAACAAUAAAUUGACUUGGGAAUCGCCUGAGGUGUGCAAGCAUUAUUUGGUCAAGUUUUGUCCCCACGAUCUCUUUACAAACACCAAGUCUGACUUAGGAAUCUGUGACAAGAUCCAUGAUGAAGACAUCAAACGGGAGUUUGAUGCCUCAAACACUCACCGAAGAGCUGCAUUUGAAGAUGACUUCAUCCGUUAUGCAGAUACAAUGUUGGUGGAUGUGGAUAAGCGCAUUAGGAAAGGACGGCAACGAUUGUCCCUCUCAGUGAAAGAAGCUCUGAGUAAUGUCACCACUGGGGAUGUUGCUGUUGAUGAGCAAAUAGAGCUUUUAUCUGAGCGCAUCACAGGGCUUGUAAAUGAAGCUGAGAGACUUGGCAAUGAAGGCAAUGUGGAAGAAGCUCAAGGACUCAGCAAGCUUUGUGAUAAGCUAAGAGAGGAGCGAGAUCAACUCAGGAAGGCUCAUGAAAAUACUGUUUGGCACCAGUGUCUCCACCAGGCUGCUGAAAUGGCUGCAUCUCAAGAGAAGCAAAUGGAAGUCUGUGAAAUCUGUGGGGCGUUUCUGAUUGUUGGCGAUGCACAGCAACGCAUCGAUGACCAUCUCACUGGGAAGCAGCAUAUGGGCUUUGCCAAGCUCAGGGAUGCAAUCAAAGAAAUAAAGGAUGCUCGAGAGAAGGCUCGAGAAGAGCGGGAGAAGCAGCGAGAAAAAGAAAGAGAGGAGAGAAGACGCCUGCUAGAUGAGGAAGAUAAGCGCAGAAUGGGUGGCGCUCGCGAUGACAAACCCAGGGAUGUCCGCCCUCCUCGAGACGAUCGCCGAGACCGCGAUGCUGUAAGGCGCGAUGAUCGUCGAAGUGAUCGAGACCGCGACCGCGACCGUAGUCAUCGCGACCGUCGCAGUGAUCGGCCCGAUCGUGGAGAUCGUGAUCGUAGCUCUCGUGACUCUCGCGACCGUUCGUCAAGGGAUCGAUCGUCAAGAGAUGGCACUUCUCGCGAUCGCAGCUCUCGUGAUGGCAGGAGAUACAGGGACGACGGUUACUACGGUUCCCGAAACGGUUCCGGCAGGUAAACUCUCCAAGUUUCUCUGGACUACAAUGCAACCCAAGAUCAUCGCACAUCAUCUUCAAUUACUGCUAAGAUGCUCAACUGUACAUAGUUAUUCUACUUUUCGUUGAAGACUGCCUGGCCUUGGAGUGAGAAGUGGGGCUGUCGGUGCGGAGUUGUGGCAGUGAGUUGCUCGCAUAAGUCAGGUAAGUCCCAUUCAGGUAUGCCCUGACUGAUAAUGAAAACGUAUAAAGUUGUGUAUUUCUUUCCAGGCCGACCCACGUGUCAGGUGGGUGAACUCUAACACUGCCCUGAAAACUACAAAUUCUCCCUAUAGAAUCAGCUGUGUUUUACUGCAUACUUAUUGAAAGAAGUUGAUUGACCGUUAGCUUUUGAUGAUGUUUGGGUUCGAGAAGGAAAUGUAAAAAUUAUGAUUGGAUCCUGAGUAAGUUCCGUCAGGGAGUUUAGUGUCGUCAAUCGUCGAAUCAAGAUCUAGGCACCUGUCCCUUUGAAAAAUUAAUUCCAAACAAAUUGGAGGCUCGGUGAAUUACUUGAUUGAAGGUAUGAAAGGAACUGGAACUCGCAUCAUUAUUGAAAGAUAAUAUUUCUGAAGAGCAAUAAAUUUUAGCUGCCAGUACAAUGAACUUUGAUUUUAUGUAGACUAGCUUCUGGAAGAUGCAAUUUUUCGUUUAGACGGGUUAUAAAGUGUUACUUUGUCCCCUGGAUUUACAAAUAAGCAUUCAUUCCUAAUUCACACCUUAGUAAUAUUAUUCUGGAUUAUAGUACAAUUUUUUCAUAUCGAGUUUGUGGUUCAUGGUAGCGAGAUGUGGUAUAAAUAAUUAUCCACGAUACUACAUUAAUUUUAGUUGAGGAAUAGUGUGUCAAACUCGUAAUCAUUAAUGAUUCAUGCAUUAUUUGUUGCCAUUCAGUGUUUCAAGAUAGCCUUGUGUAUUUGUAUUUGACCGUGGAGAAUUUGAGACCACUAAUAUUUUACGAAAGAUCUAGUUCAAUCAUUUUUUAUCAUUGUUAGGUAGCAGGGACCUUGGCGUUGGGUGGAAUAGGUGUCUAAAUACUGUGCCAUGUUACCAUUCUUUUCAGCUAUGCGAAUGAUUCUCCGGAUAAAUGAGGCUAAAGUCCCAUUGUCCAUUAACUGUGAUACCUAUCUUCCAUUGUAUCGAUAUCUUCGAACGAGCGUUCCUUCAUCCGUCGUGAUGUCGACUUUCUUGAGGUAUCUUGAGUUCUCUAGCCCUGAGCAUCGUGACCGAUGCAAUAUUUAAUUAAUAUACCAUUAUCUUCUUUGAAACGCUCUCACGACACGAAAUUAUCUCCAUGUUAAAUAACGAGGUGUCAGUGUGAAGUUAAGCAAUCUGACUAAGAAUAGCCUUUUAUCUGUUUCAUAGUUUCCACUUGAGUAAUUUGUACUGUUUUUAGUUCAUGGGGCGUCUCUCGAAAGCCCCGUGAUACUUCUUCUAGUAUGGCUAUGGCUAGCAAUAUAUUGCUCAAAUUUUGAGAUAUUGGAGCUUUAUUGCAUUUUUAGUUUCGGAAUAGCUGCUGGUUGUAACCAGUAAUCAAUUGUACGAAAUUCAAUUUCAUUGAAAGCUCUGGGAGUUUUUUUUUUUGGUUAAGCGACGAAAAUCACCUUACGUCACCAGGGAUCAUUCCUUAUGCAACGAUUGCUUUAUAGAACAGACACAAGCAGGUUUUUUUGAUUGAUUAUCCAUUUCUUUGUAAUAGGCUAAUAGCUGACACUGGGGUUUAGUUGAGCGUUCACUUCUACCACGUACAAACUUAGUGCAUGUUAGUGAUGGUAUUGUGUAAGUUGCAUCGGUUAAUUUCAUCACCUCUCUUAAGAAGUUGAUUUCUGAAAAUCAAUUAUAAUAAAAGUGUAGGAUCUUUUUCCAGUUACUUUCUACGUUUUUGUGACAUGAGCUCACUAAAUGAGACCAUGCUUGGGGAUUAAUGUUGGCAUGUUUCGAAAUUGUUUAUGGUUGAUGUGUGUGUAGGUUUAAUAUACUACUAAAGCCUUUUUGAGUUGGCCUCAUUUGUUUUCAGUAUCAAAUAACUAAUGAAUGAAUGGCUUUUGCAGAACUCGUUGCCGUCGCAAGUAAGGCAGGAGUUUGAAUGCAGAGCUCCAUUUCUCUACCGUCCAUCAGCUGCACCACCACAACGCCUGUUUGACGUGCAUGCACAAGCAUCACAGCGCGGCCUUUCGUUUAGUGCCAGAUACUGCUAAAUAACGCGUGAUUUUGAGGUAUGUUGAUGUCACUUCAUUCCGACGCUUCGUGCGCAUGUCUUCAUGUCGGUCUUCAGCUUUUGAGGUGUGUUGAAAUGACAUUAAUUUCCCGUGCGUAGAUAUCAUUUGCCCAUUUCUCGUUCGGUUUGAUAAUAAAACAAACAUAAACUUCAACGACGUAAAGGAAAUGCAAUAUUUCCGAAGUUAAAUAGCAGUUGGCAUUUAAUUUAAAUCGGGAUAUGAAUGAUUUUUGUAACGAAAAAUUAGAUUAAGUUCCAUGUUUUGCAUUAUUCUGCACCGUCCUUGUAACUGCCACUGCGAACGGCAAGGUGAGACGAUGUUAGUUGUCUAAUGUUGUACAAUAAAAUUUAUAAAACGAC
rnacentral:misc_RNA from 1 species